UGGGGAAUUUUGCGCAAUGGGCGAAAGCCUGACGCAGUAACGCCGCGUGGAGGAUGAAGGCCUUCGGGUUGUAAACUCCUGUCAGGAGGAACGACGGAGAAAGAGGGAUAAGCUCUUUCUGCCAGACGGUACCUCCAAAGGAAGCCCCGGCUAAUUCCGUGCCAGCAGCCGCGGUAAUACGGAAGGGGCAAGCGUUGUUCGGAAUCAUUGGGCGUAAAGGGCGUGUAGGUGGUUCUGUAUGUCUACCGUGAAAGCGUACGGCUCAACCGUAUUUAGUCGGUAGAAACUGCAGGACUUGAGGCUGGGAGGGGCUGGUGGAAUUCCCCGUGUAGCGGUGAAAUGCGUAGAGAUGGGGGAGAACACUCGUGGCGAAGGCGGCCAGCUAGACCAGUUCUGACACUGAGGCGCGACAGCGUGGGGAGCAAACAG
rnacentral:rRNA from 1 species